rnacentral:lncRNA from 1 species
CCCAUCAUAAUAUAGUUCAUAACAUUCAAAACUCAUUUCAAUUCCUAUAAAAGAAUUACAUUUCAUCAAAAUAAUGAACAAGGCUUAUGAUUCUCUUAAAAACUUGGCUUGUGCCAAAACUCAUACUCGGUGACACCUUGGCCCGGGCAUCCAACCGAGUCCGCCAAGGAUGUUAAAACGACAUAUGCCCAUAGAACAUGUUUUUAGUUUUAAAA